rnacentral:rRNA from 1 species
GAUGAACGCUGGCGGCGUGCCUAAUACAUGCAAGUCGAGCGAACAGACGAGGAGCUUGCUCCUCUGACGUUAGCGGCGGACGGGUGAGUAACACGUGGAUAACCUACCUUUAAGACUGGGAUAACUUCGGGAAACCGGAGCUAAUACCGGAUAAUAUAUUGAACCGCAUGGUUCAAUAGUGAAAGACGGUUUUGCUGUCACUUAUAGAUGGAUCCGCGCCGCAUUAGCUAGUUGGUAAGGUAACGGCUUACCAAGGCAACGAUGCGUAGCCGACCUGAGAGGGUGAUCGGCCACACUGGAACUGAGACACGGUCCAGACUCCUACGGGAGGCAGCAGUAGGGAAUCUUCCGCAAUGGGCGAAAGCUUGACGGAGCAACGCCGCGUGAGUGAUGAAGGUCUUCGGAUCGUAAAACUCUGUUAUUAGGGAAGAACAAAUGUGUAAGUAACUAUGCACGUCUUGACGGUACCUAAUCAGAAAGCCACGGCUAACUACG